UACGUAGGGUGCGAGCGUUAAUCGGAAUUACUGGGCGUAAAGCGCGCGUAGGCGGCUUUUCAAGUCGAUUGUGAAAUCCCCGGGCUUAACCUGGGAACUGCAGUCGAGACUGUCUAGCUAGAGUAUGGGAGAGGGAAGUGGAAUUUCAGGUGUAGCGGUGAAAUGCGUAGAUAUCUGAAGGAACAUCAGUGGCGAAAGCGACUUCCUGGACCAAUACUGACGCUCAUGUGCGAAAGCGUGGGGAGUAAACAGG
rnacentral:rRNA from 1 species